rnacentral:lncRNA from 1 species
ACAACUGGCUACAAAUAUCAACAGGCUUUAACAGUCUUCUUUCCUUCAAGUCCAGUUCUUUGAAAGUCCAAAUUUGCUCUGAACUGACUUCAAGCAAGUGCCCACUCUUGAACAAAUUACUGAGGCUGGAGGAUAAAGACACAAAUUGGCCAAACUUGGAUUACCUGCCUUCUGCAUCUUAAAGGAGUCAGUCCCAACUACAAAUUUAAGAGGAUCACAGAAACACCCACAAACUUACGAGGAUCACAGAAAACACCCCUACACCAACUUAUAGCCAAUCUAUUCAACCUGCAUUGUUAGCAGGUCACCUCUCCUGGAUCUCUGCCUGUAGUGCCCAAUUAAGAAUGGAAGGAGGAGAUUUUUCAGCUUUUGAAGUCUGCAUACCUUCAAGGAAAUUCUUCAAAAACAGCCAAGACAUUUUAAGAUGAGGAGCUACAGAACAGGGUACAUGCCCCACAGUCUUCAAUACUUUUUAUUAUUGUUUCAAGAAAACUGGAUAAAUUCAUUCUGAACAUCACAGACUUGAAAGUCAUUGUUACCAUGCCUUUGAGAAUGCCUAUAGUUAUCAUUGCCAUCAUCUCAAAGGAGAAGAAUUCUUUAACUCUUAUUGUAUAUGCAAUUUUGAAUAAAAAAAUCAAGUUGCAUUGUUAUUGAAAUUAAA